UUCAACGCAAUGUUUCCAAGUUCUUAGCCCAUUUGGGACCCAAUUUCAACAAGUCUUUCUCCAUACAUCAAAAAACUCUUCAUGCAUCUCUAGCACUUAUAAUCAAUAAAAUUCAUUGUAUACUAAUAUAUUCUAACCCCAAACAACAAUAGAUAAGUCAUUUAGUUGUUUAACGCAAUGUUUCCGAGUUCUUAGCCCAUUUGGG
rnacentral:lncRNA from 1 species